UGCAGCCUCGUCAAAUUCAGUCCCGCCCACUAAAUGGCGGUCACUGGCCCAAUGGGCUGCGACACUAUACCUGUAGCUCAUGGGCUUCACUUUCUCCUACGUAGAAUGUGAGGAUAUAAUUGCACUACAGACACCU